UAACUCUGGUUUCCCUUCAAAACGCAUAAAUCUUUCGCCUUUUACUAAAGAUUUCCGUGGAGGGGAACACUCAAAUGAGUCUUUGAUAUUUUUGAAAGUCUUACUUAAAUAGUAAGGCU